AGUAUUCCAAGCUUGUGUGUCCGGGCUUUUUAGCUUCCUUGGCCCAGAGGGUAGAUGGCGCACUCGUCAGUGUGUUGUGGGGUUGAGCGCCUGAUGCGAUGGCUGAAACGGUUGCCCGGCGCCUGGUCCAUCAGAUGUGGUAAGGUAUGCGUGUCUGUGUGCUGUAGCCUGCCGCCAUCACGCUGGUGUCUGGAACAUCGUGUCGGCCCUUGAGGCUGGCCUCAGCUUAGUUCGGCUUCCCAUGGCCUCACGGAACCCUGGAAGGAGGCAGGCGGCGGGCUGGCCUCCAUUGUCUGGCCUUCACCCGCCGCAGCCACCACCACCUCUACCACCACCACCACCACCACCAUCGUCCUCGAGCUUUUGCAGACUUUCUUCCUGGGUGUCGUGGACAACAUGGGGCAGCGGUGUUGUGUAUGACAGUCAUCCACCACAAAAAUUAAAGCUUACACGCGCCUCUCUGCCUAGAGACAUGACAAAAGAAUUGGAGCAAGAUGCCUUUUUGCAUUAAAUAACACUGGACACAGCUGGGAUUGAAUUACCUUAGAAAUGUCUACGUUUUCUUUCUGAUUUCGCAGCUUUGUCUCACCGUCGAGUAAAGAUACAUGGCGUUGAUAUUUCAGUGCUUGA